GCAGUGGGGAAUUUUCCGCAAUGGGCGAAAGCCUGACGGAGCAACGCCGCGUGAGGGAUGAAGGCCUCUGGGCUGUAAACCUCUUUUAUCAAGGAAGAAGAUCUGACGGUACUUGAUGAAUAAGCCACGGCUAAUUCCGUGCCAGCAGCCGCGGUAAUACGGGAGUGGCAAGCGUUAUCCGGAAUUAUUGGGCGUAAAGCGUCCGCAGGCGGCCCUUCAAGUCUGCUGUUAAAAAGUGGAGCUUAACUCCAUCAUGGCAGUGGAAACUGUUGGGCUUGAGUGUGGUAGGGGCAGAGGGAAUUCCCGGUGUAGCGGUGAAAUGCGUAGAUAUCGGGAAGAACACCAGUGGCGAAGGCGCUCUGCUGGGCCAUCACUGACGCUCAUGGACGAAAGCCAGGGGAGCGAAAGGGAUUAGAUACCCCUGUAGUCCUGGCCGUAAACGAUGAACACUAGGUGUCGGGGGAAUCGACCCCCUCGGUGUCGUAGCCAACGCGUUAAGUGUUCCGCCUGGGGAGUACGCACGCAAGUGUGAAACUCAAAGGAAUUGACGG
rnacentral:rRNA from 1 species